ensembl:snRNA U6 U6 spliceosomal RNA
GUGCUCACUUUAGCAGCACAUAUACUAAAAUUGGAAUGAUACAGAGAAGAUUAGCAUGGCCCCUGUGCAAGAAUGACUUGUGAAGAGUUCCGUAUUUUC